rnacentral:rRNA from 1 species
GAUGAACGCUAGCGGCAGGCUUAAUACAUGCAAGUCGAGGGGCAACAUGGUGUAGCAAUACACUGAUGGCGACCGGCAAACGGGUGCGGAACACGUACAGAACCUUCCUUCGAGCGGGGAAUAGCCCAGAGAAAUUUGGAUUAAUACCCCAUAGUAUAAUGAAGAGGCAUCCCUUUAUUAUUAAAGAUUUAUCACUUGAAGAUGGCUGUGCGGCUGAUUAGGUAGUUGGCGGGGUAACGGCCAACCAAGCCUACGAUCAGUAACUGGUGUGAGAGCACGACCAGUCACACGGGAACUGAGACACGGGCCCGACUCCUACGGGAGGCAGCAGUAAGGAAUAUUGGUCAAUGGACGAAAGUCUGAACCAGCCAUGCCGCGUGGAGGAUGAAGGUCCUCUGGAUUGUAAACUUCUUUUAUAUGGGACGAAAAAAGACUUUUCUAAGUCGUCUGACGGUACCAUAUGAAUAAGCACCGGCUAACUCCGUGCCAGCCGCCGCCGUAACAC